UACGUAGGGUGCAAGCGUUAAUCGGAAUUACUGGGCGUAAAGCGUGCGCAGGCGGUUGUGUAAGUCAGAUGUGAAAUCCCCGGGCUUAACCUGGGAAUGGCCUUUGUGACUGCACGGCUAGAGUGUGUCAGAGGGGGGUAGAAUUCCACGUGUAGCAGUGAAAUGCGUAGAGAUGUGGAGGAAUACCGAUGGCGAAGGCAGCCCCCUGGGAUAACACUGACGCUCAUGCACGAAAGCGUGGGGAGCAAACAGG
rnacentral:rRNA from 1 species